rnacentral:rRNA from 1 species
GAUCAUGGCUCAGGAUGAACGCUAGCUACAGGCUUAACACAUGCAAGUCGAGGGGUAGCAGGGUAGCAAUACCGCUGACGACCGGCGCACGGGUGAGUAACACGUAUCCAACCUUCCCAUAACUCAGGGAUAGCCUUUCGAAAGAAAGAUUAAUACCUGAUAGUACUUUUUCAAGGCAUCUUGAGAAGUUAAAGAUUUAUUGGUUAUGGAUGGGGAUGCGUUCCAUUAGAUAGUUGGUGAGGUAACGGCUCACCAAGUCUUCGAUGGAUAGGGGUUCUGAGAGGAAGGUCCCCCACAUUGGUACUGAGACACGGACCAAACUCCUACGGGAGGCAGCAGUGAGGAAUAUUGGUCAAUGGGCGAGAGCCUGAACCAGCCAAGUAGCGUGAAGGAUGAAGGUCCUAUGGAUUGUAAACUUCUUUUAUAGUAGAAUAAAGUGAUCCACGUGUGGAUUUUUGUAUGUAUACUAUGAAUAAGGAUCGGCUAACUCCGUGCCAGCAGCCGC